GGAUGAACGCUGGCGGCGUGCCUAAUACAUGCAAGUCGAGCGAACAGACGAGGAGCUUGCUCCUCUGACGUUAGCGGCGGACGGGUGAGUAACACGUGGAUAACCUACCUAUAAGACUGGGAUAACUUCGGGAAACCGGAGCUAAUACCGGAUAAUAUAUUGGACCGCAUGGUUCAAUAGUGAAAGACGGUUUUGCUGUCACUUAUAGAUGGAUCCGCGCCGCAUUAGCUAGUUGGUAAGGUAACGGCUUACCAAGGCAACGAUGCGUAGCCGACCUGAGAGGGUGAUCGGCCACACUGGAACUGAGACACGGUCCAGACUCCUACGGGAGGCAGCAGUAGGGAAUCUUCCGCAAUGGGCGAAAGCCUGACGGAGCAACGCCGCGUGAGUGAUGAAGGUCUUCGGAUCGUAAAACUCUGUUAUUAGGGAAGAACAAAUGUGUAAGUAACUAUGCACGUCUUGACGGUACCUAAUCAGAAAGCCACGGCUAACUACGUG
rnacentral:rRNA from 1 species